rnacentral:rRNA from 1 species
UACGGGGGGAGCAAGCGUUGUUCGGAUUUACUGGGCGUAAAGGGCGCGUAGGCGGCGUGACAAGUCACUUGUGAAAUCUCCGGGCUUAACUCGGAACGGUCAAGUGAUACUGUCGUGCUAGAGUACAGAAGGGGCAACUGGAAUUCUCGGUGUAGCGGUGAAAUGCGUAGAUAUCGAGAGGAACACCUGCGGCGAAGGCGGGUGGCUGGGCUGAUACUGACGCUGAGGCGCGAAAGCCAGGGGAGCGAACGGG